GGAUAUGGGACAUGGAAGAGGAUUUGAAGUCUUUCUCUUCGAAGGAACUCCAUGCCAAAAUUAAUGUGGGACACCCCAUCAUUUGGCGAUUGAAUUAGAAGAGUCCAAUUCAUUUAAAACUCUUCAUUCUUCCUUUUAUUCUUCACAUGUUUAUUAAUUCACCGUGUCAUAAGAUGGCUCUUAAGAUUAUGGGUGCAGAAGAGAAGGAAGAGUUCUUCUCUGGAAAGGAGUUUGAACGCCACAAAAUAAAUGAAAGUCAUUUAUUUUUUGCGUUGG
rnacentral:lncRNA from 1 species